rnacentral:tRNA from 1 species
GCGGCGGUAAUUCAGUGGCUAGAAUGCCACCUUGCCAAGGUGGAUGUCGUGGGUUCAAAUCCCAUCCGCCGCU